UACGUAGGGAGCAAGCGUUGUUCGGAUUUACUGGGCGUAAAGGGCGCGUAGGCGGCAAUUCAAGUCAGCUGUGAAAUCUCCGGGCUUAACUCGGAACGGUCAGCUGAUACUGCUUUGCUAGAGUGCGGAAGGGGCAAUCGGAAUUCUCGGUGUAGCGGUGAAAUGCGUAGAUAUCGAGAGGAACACCUGCGGCGAAGGCGGGUUGCUGGGCCGACACUGACGCUGAUGCGCGAAAGCCAGGGGAGCGAACGGGG
rnacentral:rRNA from 1 species